rnacentral:rRNA from 1 species
GACGAACGCUGGCGGUGUGCUUAACACAUGCAAGUCGAACGGAAAGGCCCUGCUUUUGUGGGGUGCUCGAGUGGCGAACGGGUGAGUAACACGUGAGUAACCUGCCCUUGACUUUGGGAUAACUUCAGGAAACUGGGGCUAAUACCGGAUAGGAGCUCCUGCUGCAUGGUGGGGGUUGGAAAGUUUCGGCGGUUGGGGAUGGACUCGCGGCUUAUCAGCUUGUUGGUGGGGUAGUGGCUUACCAAGGCUUUGACGGGUAGCCGGCCUGAGAGGGUGACCGGGCACAUGGGGACUGAGAUACGGACCAGACGCCUACGGGAGGCAGCAGUGGGGAAUAUUGCACAAUGGGCGGAAGCCAGAUGCAGCAACGCCGGGUGCGGGAUGACGGCCUUCGGGUUGUAAACCGCUUUCGCCUGUGACGAAGCGUGAGUGACGGUAAUGGGUAAAGAAGCACCGGCUAACUACGUG